rnacentral:lncRNA from 1 species
GGGAUAUCCUCAGGUCCUUCUGCCGAAGCUGCUCAGCUGCAGCUCGAAGCGGAGGGAGGCAGUCGCAAGGCUGGCCUGGUACCAGGAAGCACCAACAGGGUGAGCAAGUUGUGACAGAGAACCACAGGAUAAAUGGUGUCAGAGACUCUUCACCUUUCACUGUUACUGUGUUACUGUUUUAAGGUUGUGCCACCGCUGCUUCGUGUUCGCUAUCCCUACUCUACCGAACUGAACUGCUGAUAGAUUCAUGAAAUGUCUGAGUGGAUCAAGCUGCCACUGCUAGCCUGUGAAGUGAACUGCAGAUUUCCAGACAACAGACAAAAGCUACUCCAAAGAAUCUUUCUAAACAUGUCCACAUCCCCCGUAUCUUUCAUUUUCCACAACCUCUGGUGGGUGGUGGACUACAAGGGAGGUUAAAGUGUUUAAGAAUCAUCAUUAAAAAUAGGAUUUGAAAACAGUUACA